rnacentral:rRNA from 1 species
UGGGGAAUAUUGCACAAUGGGCGAAAGCCUGAUGCAGCAACGCCGCGUGUGUGAAGAAGGCCUUCGGGUUGUAAAGCACUUUUGUCCGGAAAGAAAUCCUUGGCUCUAAUACAGUCGGGGAUGACGGUACCGGAAGAAUAAGCACCGGCUAACUACGUGCCAGCAGCCGCGGUAAUACGUAGGGUGCAAGCGUUAAUCGGAAUUACUGGGCGUAAAGCGUGCGCAGGCGGUUUGCUAAGACCGAUGUGAAAUCCCCGGGCUCAACCUGGGAACUGCAUUGGUGACUGGCAGGCUAGAGUAUGGCAGAGGGGGGUAGAAUUCCACGUGUAGCAGGUGAAAUGCGUAGAGAUGUGGAGGAAUACCGAUGGCGAAGGCAGCCCCCUGGGCCAAUACUGACGCUCAUGCACGAAAGCGUGGGGAGCAAAACAGGAUUAGAUACCCCUGGUAGUCCACGCCCUAAACGAUGUCAACUAGUUGUUGGGGAUUCAUUUCCUUAGUAACGUAGCUAACGCGUGAAGUUGACCGCCUGGGGAGUACGGUCGCAAGAUUAAAACUUAAAUGAAUUGAC